rnacentral:rRNA from 1 species
AGAGUUUGAUCCUGGCUCAGGAUGAACGCUAGCUACAGGCUUAACACAUGCAAGUCGAGGGGCAGCAUGAUUGAAGCUUGCUUCAAUCGAUGGCGACCGGCGCACGGGUGAGUAACACGUAUCCAACCUGCCGAUAACUCGGGGAUAGCCUUUCGAAAGAAAGAUUAAUACCCGAUAGCAUAGUAUUUCCGCAUGGUUUCACUAUUAAAGAACUUCGGUUAUCGAUGGGGAUGCGUUCCAUUAGAUAGUUGGCGGGGUAACGGCCCACCAAGUCAACGAUGGAUAGGGGUUCUGAGAGGAAGGUCCCCCACAUUGGAACUGAGACACGGUCCAAACUCCUACGGGAGGCAGCAGUGAGGAAUAUUGGUCAAUGGACGAGAGUCUGAACCAGCCAAGUAGCGUGAAGGAUGACUGCCCUAUGGGUUGUAAACUUCUUUUAUAUGGGAAUAAAGUUUUCCACGUGUGGAAUUUUGUAUGUACCAUAUGAAUAAGGAUCGGCUAACUCCGUGCCAGCAGCCGCGGUAAUACGGAGGAUCCGAGCGUUAUCCGGAUUUAUUGGGUUUAAAGGGAGCGUAGGCGGGUUGUUAAGUCAGUUGUGAAAGUUUGCGGCUCAACCGUAAAAUUGCAGUUGAUACUGGCGACCUUGAGUGCAACAGAGGUAGGCGGAAUUCGUGGUGUAGCGGUGAAAUGCUUAGAUAUCACGAAGAACUCCGAUUGCGAAGGCAGCUUACUGGAUUGUAACUGACGCUGAUGCUCGAAAGUGUGGGUAUCAAACAGGAUUAGAUACCCUGGUAGUCCACACAGUAAACGAUGAAUACUCGCUGUUUGCGAUAUACAGUAAGCGGCCAAGCGAAAGCGUUAAGUAUUCCACCUGGGGAGUACGCCGGCAACGGUGAAACUCAAAGGAAUUGACGGGGGCCCGCACAAGCGGAGGAACAUGUGGUUUAA